rnacentral:lncRNA from 1 species
CUUUCUGUUGUUUUGCCGAGGACUCUCCCUCAACCACAGAGCAAAAAAUAAUGUCAAGUAAUUGCCUCAAGUGAAGCCCCUAGGAGAGAGAGAGAGUUCAUUUGGGAGUUUUGUGAAAUCUCCACUUUCCUGAUUUGAGCUGGAGAGGGAAGAAGGGCAGAAGCAGAGAAGAGGACAUAGAAAGGGCACUGUCUGCAAACUUCAGUCAAAGGAGGAAAAGGUGGGAAAGGAAAAGAAAGGCCACUGAGCAUCUCCUAGGUUAGAGCUGAUUUUCCAGGAGCACCCUGGGCUGGACACAAAAACUGGAGUGGGAGAAACGGCAGGCAAUGUUUCCGCUUGGAAGGAGCGCUUUCCGGCUUGCUGAGGAACUGUUGCUAUGGAAACAGGGCUCCUUCAGCAGAAAGGAAUGAAAAUGGAAUGGUGAAACUUGCUAUCAACUUGUGUAAAGAGGAGGAAAGGAACUUCACACUUGAAAGAAAUGAAUGGACUAUGAAAAAGGGUGUGGAUAAAGAACGAGGAGAGCACAGAUCCAGGCAUUUCACAGUGCAGCGAGACUUAGAG